rfam:Nematostella vectensis strain CH2 x CH6 NEMVEscaffold_380_Cont25563, whole genome shotgun sequence.
GUUGCGGUGGCCGAGUGGUUAAGGCGUUGGACUAGAAAUUCAAUGGGAUCUUCCCGCGCAGGUUCGAAUCCUGCUCGCAACG